CAGAACAAAAGAAAAAUUUAUAGAUAGACUUCCAAAGCAGCAUCUGGUUUUACCAGAUUUUAAAAGAUGAUUUUAGAAGUAAUGAUAUUGCUAUGUAGAUAACACAUUUACAUUGGCCUAUGUUAUACACAGGAUCGCACUCCAAAAGCUCUUGACUGUUGACAAACCGUUUUGCAUUUAUGACCUCAUUAUAUCAUCAUGUUUAUCCUUUGAUGUAAGUAUUACUGUCCAUAUUUAACCAAUGAGGAAAAUGAAGCUUAGGACAUUAAACAACCCACCCAACCUCAUAAACUAGCAGGAGCAGGACUUAAAUCCCAGGUUCCUGCCUCCUAACCUGUUUAUUAAAAAUCCACAUCCAAAUACCUGUUCAGUGCAGGGAAUAAUGCUACGGAAUAUUUCUGGAACUUUCAAGGUCGAUUCAGAAAACGCUAAAGCAGCAGUCUUAAUAGAAAGUAUGAAGAGUGAUGGCUCCAGCAGACUUUUAAAUGAAAAGGCCCUACCUUGGUGUUCAGAAAGAUUCAGUCCCUGUUGGAUGUGGCUACUCCUCUUCCUUCACUGAUGGAUGUUGGAGAUGAAGUGGGUGAAGUAGUUAUAGCACUGCAUGGAUGACUGAAACUUGCCUAUCAUCUUAGGGCAUUCUGCCAGCCCAUUUUAUACAGCAUUUAAUUUGAUGACAUCUCCUUCAGUAGUGGACCUGGCAGAGAAGGAUGUAAGAAUGUAAUAGCUGGGCAUGAUGGAUCAUAUGUGACUUGGAGGCCCAUGAAAGAGGAAAAUUAGAAAAAGCAAAUAAAAAACUCUCACCAGAAAUUGUGAUCAAUGCUACAAAAGACGUUGCAGUUGGCUGAGCUCAAGACUAAUGAAACAUGGACCUUUGGGUGUGACUGGGAAGUAUGUUUUGAAGAAAUGCCUUUAUGCUGGGACUUCCAUCAAGGUAUGUUAGAGGUGCCUGGGGGAGCCCUGUGAACCUGGGAUCAGCACAGUGGAAGGUAGAGUAAUUCUCCAGAGAUGGGUUGAGACCUGUUUAUAAGCUACUGAUGAGUUUGAGUGUAAGCAUGACUGAAAAGAACUGAUUUUCAGUUUUAAAGACAACCAUCGAAAGAGGUUUGUGGGUGAGCAGGAGCAGGAAAAGAUGUGCUAAGCAGCAAUUACAAUAAUGCUGGCCAUUGAUGAUGGAAACCAUGGUUAGGGAGACACAGAAUUGACUAUUGUGAUGAGUAUUUGGAAACCAGAAUGAAUAGGACUUACUGAUGGAUUGUAUGAGGUGGGGUGGGGCACAUGGUAAGAGACAGAAUGAAAUUGGGGAUAAUACUCAGGUUUCGGGGCUGUCACAAUGGUGUAGCGGGUACGGCUGCUGCAUACAGUGCUGGCAUCCCAUAUGGGCACCGGUUUGAGUCCCAGCUGCUCCACUUCGAAACUAGCUCUCUACUAUGGCCUGGGAAAUCAGUGGAAGAUGACGCAAGUACUUGGGCCCUUGUAUUCACUUGGGAGACCCAGAAGAAUCUCCUGGCUCCUGCUUCAGACUGGCGCAGCUCUGCCAUUAAAGCCAUCUGGGGAGUG